GUCUAGGCGUCUAGCACCACAGAUUACCUCUCAACUGGCUGGCUGUAAUACAGUUGCAGAAAUCUUCUUUACCGGAUUAUUCGCCAUACAGUUCCUCAAGCUCUUUCCUUCCCAGAUUUGUAUCAUACUAGAUCUUCUGCAGCCAAAGUCCUGGUCUGCUGCUGCCAAUUCAAAAGGCCUACUUAUUAGGUUAAAGUUCGCUGCUUCAAUUCCUCAAGCUCUUUCCUGUGUUACCAAGAUCCGAGAGGCUUCAUUGUAUUCGAAAAGCUAAGCUUGGGGGUGGUUGUCAUGAACACAAUGUCAUGUUAGCAUUGUAUGUAGUUGAGGAUGCAACUGGUGUGACAUCUAUUGCAUCCCUAAAUGUUGUUUCAGGGAGGAAGAAGGUGGAGUUUUUAGAACUGCAAGACCUUGUUAAGAGGAGGAGCAGGAGCAGGAGCUGGAAGUAGGAAGCAGAACACGCUGAAUAUUCUAGUGAAGUACAAAAGAUAUAUCCCCAAAGAGAUGACUGUAUUUGCAACGCUGGAGAUGCCCAGCAAAAGAAGAUUAAAUACAAGCUUUGCGGCCAUUCUUCUGCAUCUACGAGUUGAUUAAAAAUUCUCAGCUCAUUUCAAGAUUCCUCUGAGGUGGUCAGAUAACUGAUGCAAUGCUAUCUGAACCGAGUCUGUUACUUUUUGAAGUAUAUUUAUGGCUCUUCCUUUAGUUACAUCCAAACUCCGAUUAUUUCCUCCGACUUCUGGAAGGUGCAACUAUUGUUGUUAUGGAGACCCUUCUGCUGGAGUGAUUAUUUCAAUGCAGUUGACUUUCAGUGUUAGCACCGAAAUCUAUAAGUAUCAAGUUUGAUCAUGGUAAGCUUGCUUUUGGUCUUUUCAGCAUGAAUGUGAACAACACUUGAACACAUGUUUGGUUUGAUUUAAGGUGCAUUUUUUAAGAUUUCUGGAUUGAGAUAUUUGCAAUUUGUUUCGGCAAUCAACCUUGUUCCAGAACUAUCUUUCAAAAAUCUCCAGGGAGCUUUGUAGAUUCAGACUCGGUAAUAUCAUUUUAACAGCUGUCUGAUAUGCUGAUCAAUCAAUAAACCAGCAUCAGAUGUUCAAAGAAUCGGAAUGCUGAGUUUUGGUCAAUGACAUUGAUUUGUCGCAAAUUAUUAGAGGGGAUAUACGAAAGCAACCAUGCCAGACGAUUAGUUCUUGCGGUGGUUGAUUUGCUACUUGCAGGCACUUUUAUUUCUUAUUUAUCUCUUCUCGGAUGUAAUAGUUCUGUUGCACCCAUUUACUUCAUGGUAUAUUUCUGAAAUUAGAAUCGGAGAAUGAAUAAUUUUGGCAUUAAGUAGAUGUCGUCACAUCUUUUAUAUAGCUAUCGAAGUAAGCACUGACUUGGCAGCUCGUGUAGUAGUUGGAGUGAUAAACAACCCCAUCAGCUGCCCUAGUUGGUGGGAAGUGGGAACAGGAAGAAUGAAUAGCUCGAUUUAUGUUGUAAUCAUCCUUAAUUGGCAUCUGAAGGAAAGAA